rnacentral:misc_RNA from 1 species
GAUGAAGAACGUAGCGAAAUGCGAUAAGUAAUGUGAAUCGCAGAAUUCAGUGAAUCAUCGAAUCUUUGAACGCACAUUGCGCCCCCUGGUAUUCCGGGGGGCAUGCCUGUUCGAGCGUCAUUUCACCACUCAAGCCUCGCUUGGUAUUGGGCAACGCGGUCCGCCGCGUGCCUCAAAUCGACCGGCUGGGUCUUCUGUCCCCUAAGCGUUGUGGAAACUAUUCGCUAAAGGGUGUUCGGGAGGCUACGCCGUAAAACAACCCCAUUUCUAAGGUUGACCUCGGAUCAGGUAGGGAUACCCGCUGAACUUAAGCAUAUCAAUAAGCGGAGGA